UACGUAGGGGGCAAGCGUUGUCCGGAAUCAUUGGGCGUAAAGCGCGCGUAGGUGGCUCUAUAAGUCCGUUGUGAAAGUCAAAGGCUCAACCUUUGAAAGCCGAUGGAUACUGUGGAGCUAGAGUACGGAAGAGGCGAGUGGAAUUCCUGGUGUAGCGGUGGAAUGCGCAGAUAUCAGGAGGAACACCAAUAGCGAAGGCAGCUCGCUGGGACGUUACUGACACUGAGGCGCGAAAGCGUGGGGGAGCGAACAGG
rnacentral:rRNA from 1 species